AGGAAAAUCCGAAAGUGUGAAAAAAGGAAAAUAAAAAAUAAAAAAAAAUCAAAGAGAUGAUCUGAAGAAGAUAUGGUUUAAAAGACAAAUCUGCCAUUAAAUUGCUGAUGAAGAUGUAAGAUAUUCCACUUGCAGUUUAAUCAUAUCAUCGAUUUUAUCAAAAAGAACACCGAUGAUCAUAAAGGAUACUCUUCAUGGCUGCAUUACUCUCAUUCUCUCUGAAUCUCUACUCAGAUCCACAGACCCACCAAAGGUCACUAUUUUUUUCAUCUUCUCCAAAUAAUCCUAUCAAACACCCAUUUUUCCCUUCUCAGAAGACUCAAUGUUUCCGCUUCAAAUCCUCAUUCUCUUCACACUCCUCUUCUUCUUCUCCUUCAACAACAGAAGAAUCACCUACUGCUUCUCCUUCUUCUACUUAUUCAAAUCUUGAAGAUUCUUUCAAAACAGGAAGCUUUUUAAGCAAUGAAGAGCUCGAAAAGCUUAAAACCCUUGAAAAGUUUACGUAUUUUCAAGAAUUAAAAACUGGGUCUUUGUUGGUUAGAGUGAUGAGGCCAGAGGAGAUGGAUAUCACAGUGAAAUUACUAGCUGAAUCUUUUGCCGAGUCUAUGUUAUUGCCUGUUGGGUAUGUAUCUUUGUUGAGAUUCUUGGUGAAGCAGUACUUGAUUGAGAGAAGAGCGGUGAUGCCACAUGCUGUUACACUCGUUGGUUUUUAUAUAGGGAAAGAUGAAGGUAAUAAUGGAGAUGGUGAAGAGGAAGAGGAGAUGUUGGCAGGGACGGUGGAAGUGUGUUUUGAUAAAAGGGGUGCUAAUGCUUCUCCUCCUACGCCAGUUCCUCCUAAGAAUUCUCCUUAUAUUUGUAAUAUGACUGUUAAGGACUCACUUCGUAGGAGGGGCAUUGGUUGGAAUCUUUUGAAGGCAAGUGAGGAACUGAUUUCUCAAAUGAGUUGCAAAGGAGAGGUGUACUUGCAUUGCAGAAUGAUUGAUUCGGCUCCCUUCAACAUGUAUAUAAAAGCAGGGUAUGAUGUUGUUAAGACAGAUAGUAUAUUGAUCCUGCUGAUGUUGCAGAGACGUAAGCAUUUGAUGUGCAAGAAACUUCCAGUCUUAGAUGACCCUUCUGAAGUCAAUUUGUCAGACUCUACAUGAAAGUUUCUUCACAAUUCAAUUGACAGAUGCCGUAACAUGUGUUUCUAAGGUGCAUGCUAACUAUUGCAAAUUUGGAUUCUAGGACAUUGUCACACCAAGUUGUGGUGAUCAUUAAAUCAGGGUGAUUAUGGCCAGAAAUUGCUGAUUCUGUGAGAACUCCUUGCUUGUAAUUUAUCAUAAUUGUGGUAGAAACAUGUUGUGUAAAAGGUAAUUGCAUCAGGUACCUCCAUUUCUUACUUGCCUCAAAAUUAUGUGGAACAUGCAUAUGUUGAAAAAAUUAUUUGAGCUUGAGCUUGUACGGAUAGGAAAGAUAUAAGAGAAAAAGAAAAGAUAUCUGAGGGAAGACCAAAUAGUAUAAGAUUUAUUGCAAAAAGAAAACAUGUUUCCUGUCUUUGAGAAGUAUAUCUUAUAGAUUAAUCUUUAACAAGUGAAGAAUAAAAAAUCUUUUUUAAGAAUUCUUGAUGCUACACUGAGCCAUACAUACAAGUGUAUGUUUCUUUCUGACUGCAAUCCUCUUACUUUCUACUCUUAUGGUUCAUGUUCUUUGCCAUGAAAUCCUCCUCCUAGAUCUUCAUUGAGUUUCCUCUGUGUAACUGCUAAAGUGCUAGGGUUCACCUUCUUCAUGGAUCCUUUUCGAUGUUGUAUCAUUAAACUUAUAGGUUCCCUUUCUUCCAUUUUGAAUCACCAAUUGAAGGAAAUUUAUUAUUGAUAUAAUACAAUUUGUCUCUGCUGAUAACCAAUCAGGUUCUAUUAGACCUUUUUGAAUGAAUGCAAUGCCGUACCCAAAGCUUUUGAAUUUAUAUAAAUUAUCAUUUGGAGUUCUUUUACACAUUCAGUCAUUGAGGGUCUCUCACUGCUCUCAAUACGAACACAGCGAGAUGCCAGGUUUGCAAACAUGGCUAUGGAUUCCAUUGUGUAUGAACUCCGACUUAGCUCUGGAUCUAGCAUCUUACGCAACUUCUUCCGAUCAUUCAAUAUAUGCCUAACCUGAAACAAAAGGAUUAUUCAUUUACUACUGCCAUCAGUAUCGUGAUUAGUGUUCUAGUGCCCUUUUUAAUUUGAUAAGACAAUCUAUAUCAAAUAAGAAGAGAUACAACCACCUGUAGUACAAGGUUUUGAUCGCUUGAUCCCUGGCUCAAGUCCACAGCUCUACGUCCUGUCAAAAGCUCAAGAAGAACCACUCCAAAUGCAUACACAUCACUUUGUAAAGUGAGUUUCCCUGUCUGUCACAAAAGGCAGAUGAACUAGUGUUUACAUCUCACUCUAUACAAAUUAAGUAGAAACACAUAAGGACCUGAAAACAAUGAUUCUCCCUGCAUAUUAACAUGAUUGGUAAACUGGUUAAGAUAAUAGACAGGGGCUACAACUUUGAGUUUUGGUUAGUUCAGUAGUUGUCAGAGAGUGGUGUUCCUUAUCUAUUAAACAGCAAACUAUUAGUUUCUUGACUUUGUCUAUAUAUUACUGAAUCAAUUCUGUAGCCAAGAGUUUAGGCCAGCUUAGGCUUUCGUUGCCUGGUGAUUAUUUGUUCCUAGGCAGGAUAAUCUUACAUGGUUAAAUGUCAUUGCAUUGUUCUUCAAAAAUAAUAAAGUUGACAAAUUCAGGUAAGCUUGAGAUUGUAGUUGCUAGUUCACCCAGAACUACAACCAAAGGCAACAAUGCAAGGACGACACUUUUCAUAUUAUAUUCGUGUUGGAUUCUGGUUGCUAGGAUCUAGGAAGCCAAUAGACCUGUUUUAAGUGUGGUUUUAGACAGUUACCAACAUGUUUGGAUAUUUGUCUUAAGUUAGCAAAGCAGUUCCUAGCAAGUACUCUAGGGAUGGCAGAAUUGAGAAAUUACCACUUUAAUUGUGCACUGCAUCUGCUUCUAGGCAACGUGUAUUUUCUAGCUUCACAUAGCAUUAUACAUGGGCUUACCUUAUCAAACACGUAAAUGACAAUGAUAGCUUUGGGUCUGGUCAUGAACUUAUAAUAGUUUCAUGUCUAUCAAGCAUCAUAUUUUCUAGUUCUUAGCUGCCUAACUGUUGCUGAUGCUUCCAUAAACUUGCAAGCUAAAAAUAGCCCAGUUAUCUUGAUGAGUGAGUUAUAACAUCUUCUGCUCUAUUCUUAGACCUAUGAAUUAGGGAAAUUUAAAUGUUUAGGAGAUUAUAGUUAGUAAAGGAACAAUGGGCUCUAGCAUUCAUGAAAUGACACAAAAUUCUGAUUAGACAGUUCCAAUUGCUCUUCAUACAUUUCCAAAUUAGAAAUGAAACAAAGAUGCAUACCGAAGUAUACUCUGGAUCAAAAUAGCCAAAUGUGCCAAGAACCCUAGCUGUCACAAAUGUCUCCUGACCUUCUGGCAUCAACUUGGCAAGUCCAAAAUCAGAUAUCUGUGAAGAAUAAGAAUACAAGUUUAGUUGCAAGUAAACUUUAUUGGUCUUAUCAAUUAUUCGUUAGCUGUAGUUUUGAAGAAAGUGUCCUAGUUUAAGGGAGCAAAACUUUAAAUAGAAUUAGAAGAGCCUUGCAGUUGCUUACCUUAGCUUCAAAAUUGGCAUUUAGGAGAACAUUGGUGGAUUUAAAAUCUCUGUGAACAAUAGGUAUUCCGACUGCAGAGCUUGAGUGAAGAUAAGCUAGUCCCCUUGCUGCUCCAAGUGCCACUUUGAGCCUCAUAGGCCAAUCCAUUUUUUCUUCUCCAAUUCCUAAAAAUAGUUACAGAUAUUAGAUGUAACAAUGUAAUAAGCUUGACUGUAGAUUUGGAUUUUGCGUGAUACCCACCAUUUAAGUGAUCUUGCAGAUUCCCCUUUUGCAGAUACUCAUACACCAGAAACCUGUGCUUCCCAUCAGCGCUAUAUCCUAUCAAGGAAACCAGAUUUGGGUGGUCAAGUCGGCUCAAGAUAUCAACUUCAACGCGAAACUCUCUUUCUCCUUCAGCUUCUUUAAACGAUGGCAACUCCAUUUUCUUGAUUGCUACAACCUUCAUAUUGUAGAGAGGAAAAAUAAAUUUAUUUGUGAUCUUGUAACUGGGUUAGUGAUUGUUAACCUCUUUACGCUUUUCUUUUCCAUAAUCAGGAGUUUAACUGAUUCACCAAGUUUUUGUGCUGAUGAAAUAGCAUUGAAGCUGUACGUCUA